rnacentral:rRNA from 1 species
CCCUUAGAUGUCCGGGGCUGCACGCGCGCUACACUGAAGGAAUCAGCGUGCUAAAACCAUUGUCGAAAGGCAUUGGUAAACCCAUUAAAAUCCUACGUGAUUGGGAUCGGGAAUUGCAAUUAUUUCCCUUGAACGAGGAAUUCCCAGUAAGUGUGGGUCAUAAGCUCGCGUUGAUUACGUCCCUGCCCUUUGUACACACCGCCCGUCGCUGCCCGGGACUGAGCCGUUUCGAGAAAAGCGGGGACUGCUGCUGUCGGGGCUUUCGGGCCUUGGCUUCGGUGGAAACCGCUUUAAUCUCAGUGGCUUGAACCGGGCAAAAGUCGUAACA